rnacentral:rRNA from 1 species
AAAUUGAAGAGUUUGAUCAUGGCUCAGAUUGAACGCUGGCGGCAGGCCUAACACAUGCAAGUCGAGCGGAAACGAGUUAUCUGAACCUUCGGGGAACGAUAACGGCGUCGAGCGGCGGACGGGUGAGUAAUGCCUAGGAAAUUGCCCUGAUGUGGGGGAUAACCAUUGGAAACGAUGGCUAAUACCGCAUAACGCCUACGGGCCAAAGAGGGGGACCUUCGGGCCUCUCGCGUCAGGAUAUGCCUAGGUGGGAUUAGCUAGUUGGUGAGGUAAGGGCUCACCAAGGCGACGAUCCCUAGCUGGUCUGAGAGGAUGAUCAGCCACACUGGAACUGAGACACGGUCCAGACUCCUACGGGAGGCAGCAGUGGGGAAUAUUGCACAAUGGGCGCAAGCCUGAUGCAGCCAUGCCGCGUGUGUGAAGAAGGCCUUCGGGUUGUAAAGCACUUUCAGUCGUGAGGAAGGUAGUGUAGUUAAUAGCUGCAUUAUUUGACGUUAGCGACAGAAGAAGCACCGGCUAACUCCGUGCCAGCAGCCGCGGUAAUACGGAGGGUGCGAGCGUUAAUCGGAAUUACUGGGCGUAAAGCGCAUGCAGGUGGUUUGUUAAGUCAGAUGUGAAAGCCCGGGGCUCAACCUCGGAAUAGCAUUUGAAACUGGCAGACUAGAGUACUGUAGAGGGGGGUAGAAUUUCAGGUGUAGCGGUGAAAUGCGUAGAGAUCUGAAGGAAUACCGGUGGCGAAGGCGGCCCCCUGGACAGAUACUGACACUCAGAUGCGAAAGCGUGGGGAGCAAACAGGAUUAGAUACCCUGGUAGUCCACGCCGUAAACGAUGUCUACUUGGAGGUUGUGGCCUUGAGCCGUGGCUUUCGGAGCUAACGCGUUAAGUAGACCGCCUGGGGAGUACGGUCGCAAGAUUAAAACUCAAAUGAAUUGACGGGGGCCCGCACAAGCGGUGGAGCAUGUGGUUUAAUUCGAUGCAACGCGAAGAACCUUACCUACUCUUGACAUCCAGAGAACUUUCCAGAGAUGGAUUGGUGCCUUCGGGAACUCUGAGACAGGUGCUGCAUGGCUGUCGUCAGCUCGUGUUGUGAAAUGUUGGGUUAAGUCCCGCAACGAGCGCAACCCUUAUUCUUGUUUGCCAGCGAGUAAUGUCGGGAACUCCAGGGAGACUGCCGGUGAUAAACCGGAGGAAGGUGGGGACGACGUCAAGUCAUCAUGGCCCUUACGAGUAGGGCUACACACGUGCUACAAUGGCGCAUACAGAGGGCGGCCAACUUGCGAAAGUGAGCGAAUCCCAAAAAGUGCGUCGUAGUCCGGAUUGGAGUCUGCAACUCGACUCCAUGAAGUCGGAAUCGCUAGUAAUCGUGGAUCAGAAUGCCACGGUGAAUACGUUCCCGGGCCUUGUACACACCGCCCGUCACACCAUGGGAGUGGGCUGCAAAAGAAGUAGGUAGUUUAACCUUCGGGGGGACGCUUACCACUUUGUGGUUCAUGACUGGGGUGAAGUCGUAACAAGGUAGCGCUAGGGGAACCUGGCGCUGGAUCACCUCCUUAUACGAUGAU